rnacentral:rRNA from 1 species
UUGAACGCUGGCGGAAUGCUUUACACAUGCAAGUCGAACGGCAGCACGGGAGCUUGCUCCUGGUGGCGAGUGGCGAACGGGUGAGUAAUAUAUCGGAACAUAUCCUGUCGUGGGGGAUAACUAAUCGAAAGGUUAGCUAAUACCGCAUACGACCUGAGGGAGAAAGCGGGGGCUCGCAAGACCUCGCGCGAUUGGAGUGGCCGAUAUCUGAUUAGCUAGAUGGUGAGGUAAAGGCUCACCAUGGCGACGAUCAGUAGCUGGUCUGAGAGGAUGAUCAGCCACACUGGGACUGAGACACGGCCCAGACUCCUACGGGAGGCAGCAGUGGGGAAUUUUGGACAAUGGGCGAAAGCCUGAUCCAGCCAUUCCGCGUGAGUGAAGAAGGCCUUCGGGUUGUAAAGCACUUUUUGGAAGGAAUAGGAAGGAAUGUACUUCCAGAAUAAGUCUCGGCUAACUACGU